rfam:Klebsiella pneumoniae IS46, WGS project CBWL01000000 data, contig: c765
GGUUAAGCGACUAAGCGUACACGGUGGAUGCCCUGGCAGUCAGAGGCGAUGAAGGACGUGCUAAUCUGCGAAAAGCGUCGGUAAGGUGAUAUGAACCGUUAUAACCGGCGAUGUCCGAAUGGGGAAACCCAGUGCAAUUCGUUGCACUAUCGUUAACUGAAUACAUAGGUUAACGAGGCGAACCGGGGGAACUGAAACAUCUAAGUACCCCGAGGAAAAGAAAUCAACCGAGAUUCCCCCAGUAGCGGCGAGCGAACGGGGAGCAGCCCAGAGUCUGAAUCAGCUUGUGUGUUAGUGGAACGGUCUGGAAAGUCCGACGGUACAGGGUGAUAGUCCCGUACACCAAAAUGCACAGGUUGUGAACUCGAAGAGUAGGGCGGGACACGUGGUAUCCUGUCUGAAUAUGGGGGGACCAUCCUCCAAGGCUAAAUACUCCUGACUGACCGAUAGUGAACCAGUACCGUGAGGGAAAGGCGAAAAGAACCCCGGCGAGGGGAGUGAAAAAGAACCUGAAACCGUGUACGUACAAGCAGUGGGAGCACCUUCGGGUGUGACUGCGUACCUUUUGUAUAAUGGGUCAGCGACUUAUAUUCUGUAGCAAGGUUAACCGUAUAGGGGAGCCGCAGGGAAACCGAGUCUUAACUGGGCGUUAAGUUGCAGGGUAUAGACCCGAAACCCGGUGAUCUAGCCAUGGGCAGGUUGAAGGUUGGGUAACACUAACUGGAGGACCGAACCGACUAAUGUUGAAAAAUUAGCGGAUGACUUGUGGCUGGGGGUGAAAGGCCAAUCAAACCGGGAGAUAGCUGGUUCUCCCCGAAAGCUAUUUAGGUAGCGCCUCGUGAAUUCAUCUUCGGGGGUAGAGCACUGUUUCGGCUAGGGGGUCAUCCCGACUUACCAACCGAUGCAAACUACGAAUACCGAAGAAUGUUAUCACGGGAGACACACGGCGGGUGCUAACGUCCGUCGUGAAGAGGGAAACAACCCAGACCGCCAGCUAAGGUCCCAAAGUCAUGGUUAAGUGGGAAACGAUGUGGGAAGGCACAGACAGCCAGGAUGUUGGCUUAGAAGCAGCCAUCAUUUAAAGAAAGCGUAAUAGCUCACUGGUCGAGUCGGCCUGCGCGGAAGAUGUAACGGGGCUAAACCAUGCACCGAAGCUGCGGCAGCGACACUAUGUGUUGUUGGGUAGGGGAGCGUUCUGUAAGCCUGCGAAGGUGACCUGUGAGGGUUGCUGGAGGUAUCAGAAGUGCGAAUGCUGACAUAAGUAACGAUAAAGCGGGUGAAAAGCCCGCUCGCCGGAAGACCAAGGGUUCCUGUCCAACGUUAAUCGGGGCAGGGUGAGUCGACCCCUAAGGCGAGGCCGAAAGGCGUAGUCGAUGGGAAACAGGUUAAUAUUCCUGUACUUGGUGUUACUGCGAAGGGGGGACGGAGAAGGCUAUGUUAGCCGGGCGACGGUUGUCCCGGUUUAAGCAUGUAGGCUGGUUAUCCAGGCAAAUCCGGAUAAUCAAGGCUGAGGUGUGAUGACGAGGCACUACGGUGCUGAAGUAACAAAUGCCCUGCUUCCAGGAAAAGCCUCUAAGCAUCAGGUAACAUCAAAUCGUACCCCAAACCGACACAGGUGGUCAGGUAGAGAAUACCAAGGCGCUUGAGAGAACUCGGGUGAAGGAACUAGGCAAAAUGGUGCCGUAACUUCGGGAGAAGGCACGCUGGUGUGUAGGUGAAGUCCCUGCGGAUGGAGCUGAGACCAGUCGAAGAUACCAGCUGGCUGCAACUGUUUAUUAAAAACACAGCACUGUGCAAACACGAAAGUGGACGUAUACGGUGUGACGCCUGCCCGGUGCCGGAAGGUUAAUUGAUGGGGUUAUCCGUAAGGAGAAGCUCUUGAUCGAAGCCCCGGUAAACGGCGGCCGUAACUAUAACGGUCCUAAGGUAGCGAAAUUCCUUGUCGGGUAAGUUCCGACCUGCACGAAUGGCGUAAUGAUGGCCAGGCUGUCUCCACCCGAGACUCAGUGAAAUUGAACUCGCUGUGAAGAUGCAGUGUACCCGCGGCAAGACGGAAAGACCCCGUGAACCUUUACUAUAGCUUGACACUGAACAUUGAGCCUUGAUGUGUAGGAUAGGUGGGAGGCUUUGAAGCGUGGACGCCAGUCUGCGUGGAGCCAACCUUGAAAUACCACCCUUUAAUGUUUGAUGUUCUAACGUUGGCCCCUGACCGGGGUUGCGGACAGUGUCUGGUGGGUAGUUUGACUGGGGCGGUCUCCUCCCAAAGCGUAACGGAGGAGCACGAAGGUUAGCUAAUCCUGGUCGGACAUCAGGAGGUUAGUGCAAUGGCAUAAGCUAGCUUGACUGCGAGCGUGACGGCGCGAGCAGGUGCGAAAGCAGGUCAUAGUGAUCCGGUGGUUCUGAAUGGAAGGGCCAUCGCUCAACGGAUAAAAGGUACUCCGGGGAUAACAGGCUGAUACCGCCCAAGAGUUCAUAUCGACGGCGGUGUUUGGCACCUCGAUGUCGGCUCAUCACAUCCUGGGGCUGAAGUAGGUCCCAAGGGUAUGGCUGUUCGCCAUUUAAAGUGGUACGCGAGCUGGGUUUAGAACGUCGUGAGACAGUUCGGUCCCUAUCUGCCGUGGGCGCUGGAGAAUUGAGGGGGGCUGCUCCUAGUACGAGAGGACCGGAGUGGACGCAUCACUGGUGUUCGGGUUGUCAUGCCAAUGGCACUGCCCGGUAGCUAAAUGCGGAAGAGAUAAGUGCUGAAAGCAUCUAAGCACGAAACUUGCCCCGAGAUGAGUUCUCCCUGAGACUUUAAGUCUCCUGAAGGAACGUUGAAGACGACGACGUUGAUAGGCCGGGUGUGUAAGCGCAGCGAUGCGUUGAGCUAACCGGUACUAAUGAACCGUGAGGCUUAACCUU